GUGGUAUCCGUUGAGGAAAGGAGAGGAGCUUAUGCGAUGCAGGUGAACCAGGGAGCAACAUUACUCGCUCUGGCGCUGUGUGCAGUCUUCUCACUAGUGCUGGGCAUGGAAAGCAAACGGAAGCUCCAGAUUGGGGUCAAGAAGCGGGUGGACAACUGCCCCAUCAAGUCCCGCAAGGUCUGCCAAAAAAGCUGAAAAACAUCUUCAUGUAUGCGACAACGGCCGCGAGAGUUUUAGUAGCACAAGGAUGGAAGACAGAAGAAACCCCAACUAAAGAAUUAUGGCAAGAAAAAUUGAUGGACUAUGCAGAACUGGCAAAACUGACAUACAAGCUACGGGACAAGGAUAACUGUGACUUUAAAGAUGAAUGGGAACCCUUUACAAAAUAUUUGAAGACGCAACAAAGCAAACUGGACUCCUUGGCUGGUUUUGAAUAACCAUUCACAAACUUUUUAUUGAUAAUUAUUACUUAAAUAGUUUGAGGAUCUAUACAACUGUGUAACAUGCAGAAAACAGCAUUUUUAGAGAAAUCAAAGACUGGAACUGAGGGAAGUCGGGGGGUGGGUGGGUUCUGUGGGGGGAGGAAAAAAAGGGGGGGAAAUAAGGAUGAUAUGUUUCUAGAUAAUAUGUUUUGUCUUAAUUUUGAAUAAAAAAGUAAUUAAAAAAAAAAGUCCCGCAAGGGUGAUGUGCUCCACAUGCAUUAUACGGGCAAGUUGGAGGAUGGGACAGAGUUUGACAGCAGCCUGACUUGUCAUCAGCCGUUUAUCUUCUCCUUGCGGACUGGACAAGUCAUUAAAGGCUGGGAUCAGGGCCUGCUUGGGAUGUGCAAGGGUGAGAAGAGAAAGCUGGUCAUCCCCUCUGAGCUGGGUUAUGGGGAC